rnacentral:rRNA from 1 species
UAACUCGAUAAUCCACGCAUACCAAACCUUCUCUAGAUAUACAGCAUGUGUACUGCCGUUGUAAGCAUACCUUUAAAAGAUGAGUAUGCCACUAUGACUAUAACUCAUAUACAUCAGGUCAAAGUGCAGCUAAUAAGAAGGUGAUGAUGGGUUACAACCCCAAAACAGACUAUCAACUAAGAAAUUAAAAAUCUUACGAAAGUGGACUUGGCCGUAAUAAAUUCUAGUAUAAAGAAAUGAAUAAUAUCUAAGACAUGCACACAUCGCCCGUCACUCUAUCCUAAAGGUUAGAUAAGUCGUAACAAAGUAGGUGUAAUGGAAAUUGUACCUGUCGAAGUAUAGCAUAUAUAUAAUGCUUUUUACUUACACUAAAAAUAAAGUCAACACUUACUUCGCUCAAAAUAAAAAUCUUAAAAUUUAUUUCAUAUACAAAUAAUUAUAUCAAUAACUUCAUAGUACAGAAAUGGAAAAAAUAAUAAAUAAAAGUAAAUUUUAACAAAUGUACCUUGUGCAUUAUGGUUUUACAAGAAAAAAAUUAAAACAUAAGUCCCGAAUUCUUAAUGAGAUGUUAAACUGCUGUUACGAACCCACUAAUAGCUGUAGAAAAAGCUUUAAAAGACAGCUUAACAGAGGCUACAUACCAUUCGCAUAAGAAUAUAGCUGGUUUUCAACAAACAUUAUACAUUAAAACAUAUAAUAAUAUUAUAGUGUAAAAUUAUUGAGGAUAAGCCCAAUAACUUAAUGCAAUAUAAGCAUAUUCUACUAUGAUUAAUAGGCCUAAAAUCAGCCAAUUAAACUACCUUACCGUAAAAUUAAGUGAUAAAAUAUAUUUUAUAACAAUGCUAAAUAUAGUUGAAAGAAUGGGAGAACUAGUACACCCACAUAUAAAAUGUAAAAAUAAGUAUUAUAAAUAAAUAACUAUAUAAAUCCAGAAUCAACAACACAUAUAUGAUAAUAAUUAAUUAAGGAACUCGGCAAACUAUUAUUUCGACUGUUUAACAAAAACAUUGUCUUAUGGACCCUAAUAUAAGAUAAUACCUGCCCC